GCCACGGUGGUCUAGCGGUUAGAACGCUGGCCUUGUAAUCCUGGGGUCUCGGAUUCGAUUCCCGGCGGUGCCC
rfam:Zootermopsis nevadensis contig6362, whole genome shotgun sequence.